GUGGCUCAGUGGUAGAGUGCAUGCCUCAUAUGCGUGAGGCACUGGGUUCCAUUCUCAGC
rnacentral:tRNA from 1 species